rnacentral:rRNA from 1 species
UACGAAGGGGGCUAGCGUUGCUCGGAAUCACUGGGCGUAAAGCGCACGUCGGCGGUCUCUUAAGUCAGGGGUGAAAUCCUGGAGCUCAACUCCAGAACUGCCUUUGAUACUGGGAGUCUUGAGUUCGGGAGAGGUGAGUGGAACUGCGAGUGUAGAGGUGAAAUUCGUAGAUAUUCGCAAGAACACCAGUGGCGAAGGCGGCUCACUGGCCCGAUACUGACGCCGAGGUGCGAAAGCGUGGGGAGCAAACAGG